UACGUAGGGUGCGAGCGUUAAUCGGAAUUACUGGGCGUAAAGCGUGCGCAGGCGGUUAUUUAAGUCAGGUGUGAAAGCCCUGGGCUUAACCUAGGAAUUGCGCUUGAGACUGGAUAGCUUGGAGUGCGGCAGAGGGAGGUGGAAUUCCACGUGUAGCAGUGAAAUGCGUAGAGAUGUGGAGGAAUACCGAUGGCGAAGGCAGCCCCCUGGGAGAUCACUGACGCUCAGGCACGAAAGCGUGGGGAGCAAACAGG
rnacentral:rRNA from 1 species